rnacentral:ncRNA from 2 species
CUCUUAUCUAGAGAGGUGGAGGGACUGGCCCAAUGAAACCCAGCAACCAGUGUUUUUUAACACGAAGGUGCUAAUUCCUGCAGCAAGUAUGCUGAAAGAUGAGAG